CUCGGCCGCGCCCGCCGCGGGCCCGCGCCCCUCCCCGCUCCGCUGACCUCCCCGCGCCUCCUUCCCGCCCCUGCGGUCCCCGGCCCUGUCCUCUCCUUCCUCACGCCCCGACGCCUCUUGGCCCCAGUAACGCCCCGGGGAAGCUCCCGAGAGAGCGGCGGGGUCCGAAGCCUGCUGUCGCCCGAGCCGCUGGGCCGGCCCGGCCGGAACGCCCAGCCUCUCGCUGCCCGACUGGGCGGAGCCGUCCCGGCGCAGACGCGGCGCCCGAGAGCUCUCGGCGGCCCCCGGGCGGGCUUCGUGGCGCGGGCGGCGGGACCGGCGCAGAGGACCGUGCUUCAGACAAACGCCGCGCGGCUCAUACCGGAGCAGAGGCAGUCAAGCUUCUGUCCGCGAAAAUCUGGAUCCUUUAGAACCCGAGCAAUGUACUCGUGUGGGAAUACAAAAACAUUUCCCGCGGCGUGGCUUUGCACCGACAUAGGUACAGGCCCGAAGUGCUCCCCCACGCCCUGCCGGCGCCCGGGAGCCACAGGGGGAGUUCGCCUCGAGCUGACCGGGCUGCAGAGGGCGGGCAGCUCCCAGAAAUGCACUAAUUGAGUCACAAACCACGGGCCGCCCCUAACAAAGCGAUCCAUCUCGGCCGCUCCGCGCCCAAUUUGUCCGCAGUACUUUCUUCCGCAAUUCAGAAGCAUUAUCUUGUUUUUAGAAGUAUCGCGGCAGAAACGUGGCAAUUAUCCUGGGCUCGGGUUACGCUAAAUGGCUUUAGGCUGAGAAAUGGAAGAAUACAAAUGCCGCGAACGUGCUGAUCGCCUCGCUGCCAGGCCUGGACCUGGGGUAGGGGAAGCGAGCCAGAAGAUUACGGAGGGGAGAGGGAGGUCCGGCGCAAGUGCCCACUCUUGGCCCACUCCCAAUGGCACCGGCCAGAAAGAAGUGUUGGGCCUUUGUCCCUAGAGGUUAAGGAUUCUGAGCGAUGAACCCUCAGAGGUUGGGAGAGAAGGGGUCAUAUUCUAACAUCACCCGGCUAAGCUUCUGGCCUCGGCUUUGGGUCAGGAACAGGUUGGGAGCUUCAGGCACUGAUGAGAAAGGUGCUUGGCAUCUGAUGUUGAGUGCGUCUUCUGGCUAAGUCUGGCGCUUGGCGAGUCCCUGAGCCUGAGCCUUCUCAGAGCGCAAUUGAAGUCGGCCCUUUUCCUCCAGAACAGCAAGUGGAUGGGAAAGAACCUUGACAACACAAAACUCAUUUACUAAUGGACUGGUUUUGGGUUUCUCUUCUCCGGGUCCGCAAAUCGCCCUGCCUGAGCCCUCGGCCUAUUCAGACCUCGCGGGGAGCGGCGUCCCCCAGGAGGCAGGUGGGCGGCUGCUCCGGCCGCCGGCCUCGGGGAGCCCCGCAUCCCAAGGGUCGAGGGCACCCGGAGUUUCCGACCAAGCAGAGGAAAAAGGAUGGAUGCUGUCACUUCAGCCAGGAUUUGGGCAGUCUCUGCACUGCCGCAGAGCGACGACGCUAAUUUGUUAAAGAAACGCCUCCUGUUGCCUUUCCCUUCCAAAUAUACGUAGCUAGAGCAGGAUCCCCGCUGUCGUUCUUGAUGGCGAAGGAAUUCCAAGAAAGCAGGCCGUGAGCCCCAAAAACACCUCGCUCUAAGCCAGAAGGGAAAUAAGUGGGUCCCAGUCAGAGGUUUUUUGAACCAAGGCCUUAUGUCAACCCAGCCGAGAAACCCCAGCAGCAACCAGUGCCUCCGCAUUGGCCUUUCCAUUGACCAAUUGUGCGCACCCGGCCAUUACCUGCGCAGCAGAGGCACAGAAGAGCCGAAACCCGGCGUCGGGCGCCCCUCGCCAGCCGCGUUACCCUCGGGAGCCACGGAGCGGCGGGGGCAGCAGCUGGAGUUGCUCGUUCCCUUUAAAUCUCCGACGCAUCUCUGUUUUUCGUGUGAUUUGCAUUGACAGCAAAGGUUUUAAGUUACUAGAACAACUCUAACCUUUCUGUGCGCGAUUUAAAAUGGAUCAUUUGGUUUAUGUGGUUUGUAAAUUCAUGUCAUUUUACCUCUUUUAGUGGUUUUCAGUGAAAGGUUCCAUUUUGGGAAACCUUAUAUAUCCGAGCCAAUAAUUAACAUUUAUAACAAUUGGUUACCCUGACCAAGAGAUCGAAAUAGCAGGUAGGCUCGAUGGUACAAAGCGAAUAGCACUUUUCUUUUCUAGUUACGGGAUCUGUUGGAUUAAACACAAGGAGAAAGGCUGGCGGCCCGGCACAGCCUCCGAGAAGGAGCACCACUUCUCACUGACCCCAGGGCCCACAAUCACAGCACCCACACGGUUGUCUUCCCAGUUGUCGCCAACGUCUUGUAUGUCCUCAUUCCUUUUGAAGAGAGAAGAAAAGAAGUGGGUUGAGAGGUCUGGAGGAAGUCGAAAUGAAGGUGGUCACAUCGGUGUCUAAUUGCCUUCUCUCUGCUCCCGGUCAUCCCCUGUGAAUUUAUACCCGCCCUCCUUGGCCAGGCUAUGCCUCAUUUCCUUAUACAAAAUUUUUAAUUAUAAAGUACACCCCAUGCUCAACUUACCGUUUGUCUUUUAAGAGACGUAGCUGUACUUACAGCCGCUCCCCUGCCCCCCAUACACAUUGUAAUUCUGCG
rnacentral:lncRNA from 1 species